UCCCUGGUGGCUCAGCAGUUAAAGCGUCUGCCUGGAAUGCUGGAGACCCGGGUUCGAUCCCUGGGUCGGGAA
rfam:TPA: Bos taurus chromosome 4, whole genome shotgun sequence.